UCUUCUACGUGUUUGCGGUGGCAAUUUCUGCCGGCGAUGUUGCUCACUUGAUGCAUUCCAAACACAGACAAAAGAAGUGGAGAUAAUAAGGAAUUAGGUGAUAUGAACACAAACAAUGCAGUGUUUCUGUUUUAACAAGGAAUGGUUUCUGGAGCAUUCCAGAGCUGACUAAAAGAUACCUGUAAUUUUGGAGGAAAAAAACAAAAGAAAAGAGUGGUCCAUU